GUGGGGAAUAUUGCACAAUGGGGGAAACCCUGAUGCAGCGACGCCGCGUGGAGGAAGAAGGUCUUCGGAUUGUAAACUCCUGUUGUUGAGGAAGAUAAUGACGGUACUCAACAAGGAAGUGACGGCUAACUACGUGCCAGCAGCCGCGGUAAAACGUAGGUCACAAGCGUUGUCCGGAAUUACUGGGUGUAAAGUGAGCGCAGGCGGGAAGACAAGUUGGAAGUGAAAUCCAUGGGCUCAACCCAUGAACUGCUUUCAAAACUGUUUUUCUUGAGUAGUGCAGAGGUAGGCGGAAUUCCCGGUGUAGCGGUGGAAUGCGUAGAUAUCGGGAGGAACACCAGUGGCGAAGGCGGCCUACUGGGCACCAACUGACGCUGAGGCUCGAAAGUGUGGGUAGCAAACAGGAUUAGAAACCCGUGUAGUCC
rnacentral:rRNA from 1 species